UCCCUGGUGGACUAGUGGUUAGACCACACCGCUCUCACCACUAUGGCCUGGGUUCGAGGCCCCGCCAGGGAA